rnacentral:misc_RNA from 1 species
AAAAGAAAGAAAAAAAAAUGAAAAAUGUAAUAGCUACUAGCAGUAGUGUCUCAUACAAAUACUGCAAAAAACAAGAAUCUACUGUGCAGAUCAAAUUCAAAGAAUCCAACAGUAGUUCAAGCUUUUUACUAUUAUGAUAAAUAGCUUAAUUAUUAAUCUCGUCAUCCCCUAACAAGGCUAAAAGGAAUGCCUUGUAGUCUCCUGAGGUAUCUCUGCCCACUGCAGCAUCAAGGGCUAUAUUGUUUCUCUUCAUAUACAGCUCCUUGAUCUCCUUCAAAUCCUUUUCCGCUCGGGUGACAAUCACUCGACUGAGAGCAUCUUCAUCAGUACCCUUGGUAUUAAUCGCAUAGCGUAGAAUCUUUGCAAAGUAUUUUUUAGGAUCUCUAAUGCAUCGGAUUACCAUACGUAAUGCAGCAAAAUAUUCAUCAGCUGGAUCACCCAAUAAAUCCUUGGUAAUGGAUGUGCCGUGGAUGUCUUUGUAACGAUUGAAAGUUGCCUUGAGCUGUGACUUGCUUCUUGUAGUUAAUAUUCUAAUCAACUCUUCAUUGUUAAAGGCCUUCUCAGAGAUAUCCCCAUGAAGAAUUUCAGCUUCCAAAUGUGCAACCUUGUCAUCAAUUUCAGCGCCAUCAUACCUAUAUGCACUAACUACUGCAACUAAAAGCUGCAUGCAUGACCCAAUAAUUACGUUAUGUUAACCAAAACAGAGUUGUG